GAGGGACUGACUGACAGCCUCGGGAGCUUACGCGCAUCCCUGAAGCGGGCGCCAGCAAGUCCUUGGGGAAAACGCUGCCUGUACCCAAACCAUAACCACGCGCUUGUCCCCUGCGAAGUGCUUCCCGAAAGACCCCCAAGGCAAUUUUAAAGUUGCGGACACCUGAACCUGCUCCAGAGCUGGCUGGAAGCAGGAGCUGCCUCCCCAGGAUGGGGCAGAAUUUGCAUCUCUCCACUUUCAAUUUAAGGUGAACAAAGCAGAAAAGCAAGUAACUUAUCACGAUCAAAAUGCAACAUCUGAUUCCCUUACACCUACCAGGAGGACAGUGCCUAUUCCACACAGAGCCAGAAACCUGGAGAGAGGAAACAAAGAAUGUAAGUGAAUUCUAGGCAGCAAGCAUUUUUCCAUCCCUCAGCUAAGAGCCCUGCCACCACCUGUCCGUCUUCAGUAAUACACUGGUUGACACUUUUUGAGACCCCAAUAUAGCGCUGAGCACUGCCCAACCUAAAAAUGACUAUUAUUUUCCAGUCACUUUUUUUUUUUUUUUUUUUUUUUUUUUUGGCAGAGUCUUGCUCUGUUGUCCACGCUGGAGUGCAGUGGCGUGAUCUCGGGAUCUCGGCUCACUGCAACCUCCACCCCCCCGGGUUCAAGCGAUUCUCCUGCCUCAGCCUCCCGAGUAGCUGGGAUCACAAACUCGCGCCACCACGCCUGGCUAAUUUUUGUAUUUUUAGUAGAGACGGGGUUUCACCAUGUUGGUCAGGCUGGUCUCAAACUCAUGACGUCAUGAUCCACCCGCCUGGGCCUCCCAAAGUGCUAGGAUUACAGGCGUAAGCCACUGCGUCCGGCCUAAUUUUUUGUAUUUUUAGUAGAGACAGAGUUUCACUAUGUUGGCCAGGCUGGUCUCGAACUCCUCAGGUGAGCCGUCUGCCUCGGCCUCCCAAAGUGCUGGGAUUACAAGCCUGAGCCACUGCGCCAGGCCCAGAGUCACUUUAUAGAUAAAAAGCCC
rnacentral:lncRNA from 10 species